CCUACGGGAGGCAGCAGUCGAGAAUCAUUCACAAUGGGGGAAACCCUGAUGGUGCGACGCCGCGUGGGGGAAUGAAGGUCUUCGGAUUGUAAACCCCUGUCAUGUGGGAGCAAAUGAAAAAGAUAGUACCACAAGAGGAAGAGACGUCUAACUCUGUGCCAGCAGCCGCGGUAAUACAGAGGGCUCAAGCGUUGUUCGGAAUCACUGGGCGUAAAGCGUGCGUAGGCUGUUUCGUAAGUCGUGUGUGAAAGGCGCGGGCUCAACCCGCGGACGGCACAUGAUACUGCGAGACUAGAGUAAGGGAGGGGGAACCGGAAUUCUCGGUGUAGCAGUGAAAUGCGUAGAUAUCGAGAGGAACACUCGUGGCGAAGGCGGGUUCCUGGACAUUAACUGACGCUGAGGCACGAAGGCCAGGGGAGCGAAAGGGAUUAGAUACCCUAGUAGUC
rnacentral:rRNA from 1 species